ensembl:rRNA 5S_rRNA 5S ribosomal RNA
CUCUGGAGCAAUACCACUUUGGGUUACAAUCUCAUCAGAAAUCACAAACCAAACAGUGCUGGGCCUGGUCAGUAUUUGAAUAGGAGACCUCUGAGAAAAACCCAGAUGCUGCAAGGA